UACGUAGGGUGCGAGCGUUGUCCGGAAUUACUGGGCGUAAAGAGCUCGUAGGUGGUUUGUCGCGUUGUUCGUGAAAUCUCACGGCUUAACUGUGAGCGUGCGGGCGAUACGGGCAGACUGGAGUACUGCAGGGGAGACUGGAAUUCCUGGUGUAGCGGCGGAAUGCGCAGAUAUCAGGAGGAACACCGGUGGCGAAGGCGGGUCUCUGGGCAGUAACUGACGCUGAGGAGCGAAAGCGUGGGGAGCGAACAGG
rnacentral:rRNA from 1 species